AUUGAACGCUGGCGGCAGGCCUAACACAUGCAAGUCGAGCGAUCGGCGGACGGGUGAGCAAUGUCUGGGAACCUGCCUGAUGGCGGGGGAUCACUACUGGAAACGGCAGCUAAUACCGCCUAACAUCAUAUGUUCCCAGAUGGGAUUAGCUAGUAGGUGGGGUACCGGCUCACCUCGGCGACGAUCCCUAGCUGGUCUGCGAGGAUGACCAGCCCCACUGGAACUGAGACACGGUCCAGGCUCCAACGGGAGGCAGCAAGAGGGAAUAUUGCACAUUAGGCGCAAGCCUGAUGCAGCCAAGCCGCGGGUAUGAAGAGGGCCUUCGGGUUGUAAAGUACGUUCAGCGGGGAGGCGUUACCCGAAGAAGAAGCACCGGCUAACUCCGUGCCAGCAGCGGCAGUAAUAC
rnacentral:rRNA from 1 species